UACGGAGGGUGCAAGCGUUACUCGGAAUUACUGGGCGUAAAGCGUGCGCAGGCGGUUUGUUAAGUCUGCUGUGAAAUCCCCGAGCUCAACUUGGGAAUUGCAGUGGAUACUGGCAGGCUAGAGUAUGGUAGAGGAAGGUGGAAUUCCCGGUGUAGCAGUGAAAUGCGUAGAGAUCGGGAGGAACACCAGUGGCGAAGGCGGCCUUCUGGACCAAUACUGACGCUCAUGCACGAAAGCGUGGGGAGCAAACAGG
rnacentral:rRNA from 1 species